UAGGGAAUAUUGGACAAUGGGUGCAAGCCUGAUCCAGCCAUGCCGCGUGCAGGAAGACGGCCUUCUGGGUUGUAAACUGCUUUUGCCAGGGGAUAAAAAUUCCAUGCGUGGAAGAUUGAAGGUACCUGGUGAAUAAGCCACGGCUAACUACGUGCCAGCAGCCGCGGUAAUACGUAGGUGGCAAGCGUUGUCCGGAUUUAUUGGGUUUAAAGGGUGCGUAGGCGGUCCUGUAAGUCAGUUGUGAAAUACGGCAGCUUAACUGUCGAGGUGCAAUUGAUACUGCAGGACUUGAGUACUGAUGAGGUAGGCGGAAUGGACGGUGUAGCGGUGAAAUGCUUAGAGAUCGUCCAGAACACCGAUAGCGAAGGCAGCUUACUAAGGAGUAACUGACGCUGAGGCACGAAAGUGUGGGGAUCAAACAGGAUUAGAUACCCGCGUAGUCC
rnacentral:rRNA from 1 species